UACGUAGGGCGCAAGCGUUGUCCGGAAUUAUUGGGCGUAAAGAGCUCGUAGGCGGUUUGUCGCGUCUGCUGUGAAAACCUCAGGCUCAACCUGGGGCUUGCAGUGGGUACGGGCAGACUAGAGUGCGGUAGGGGUGACUGGAAUUCCUGGUGUAGCGGUGGAAUGCGCAGAUAUCAGGAAGAACACCAACGGCGAAGGCAGCUCGCUGGGACGGUACUGACGCUGAGACGCGAAAGCGUGGGGAGCGAACAGG
rnacentral:rRNA from 1 species